rnacentral:rRNA from 1 species
AAUGCCGGAAUGAGUAGCGCGAAUGCAGUGAGAAUCUGCAUGGCCGAAAGCCUCAGGUUUCUGGAGGAAGGUUCGUCCGCUCCAGGUUAGUCGGGAGCUAAGGUGAGGCCGGAAGGCGUAGCCGAUGCACAGACGGUAGAGAUUCCGUCACCACCAAAAGAGUUAAGCACAGGGACACAUAUGAAGUCUCAGAGCCGGGUGUUGGUUCCGGUAGAGAUCGAGGGAAAUUAGUACCGAAGUCUGAGAUGGAAGAUGGCGAGAAAAGCUGUGUGUAUUUCUGAGGUGCCCGUACCGCAAACCGACACAGGUAGGUAGGAAGAAGAUUCUAAGGCCAACGGGAGAAGGGUUGUUAAGGAACUCGGCAAAUUGACCCCGUAACUUCGGGAGAAGGGGUGCUCCAGAGAUGGAGCCGCAGAGAAUCGGCCCAAGCAACUGUUUACCAAAAACACAGGUUUGUGCUAAAUCGAAAGAUGACGUAUACGAGCUGACGCCUGCCCGGUGCUGGAAGGUUAAGAGGAGAUGUGCAAGCAUUGAAUCGAAGCCCCAGUGAACGGCGGCCGUAACGAUAACGGUCCUAAGGUAGCGAAAUUCCUUGUCAGGUAAGUUCUGACCCGCAUGAAAGGCGUAAUGAUUUGGGCACUGUCUCAACAGCCCGCCCGGCGAAAUUGUAGUACCGGUGAAGAUGCCGGUUACCCGCGACAAGACGGAAAGACCCCAUGGAGCUUUACUGUAGCCUAAUAUUGGGUUUCGAUGUUGCAUGCACAGGAUAGAUGGGACUCUGGGAAACCAAGGCUUUGGCUUUGGCGGAGAGGCCGUUGGGAUACCAUCCUUGCGAUAUUGGAAUUCUAACCUGCGGCUCUGAAUCGAGUCGGGGGACAUUGUUAGGUGGGCAGUUUGACUGGGGCGGUCGCCUCCUAAAGAGUAACGGAGGCGUUCAAAGGUUCGCUCAGCUUGAACGGAAAUCAAGCAAAAGAGUGCAAACGCAGAAGCGAGCCUAACUGCGAGACUGACGGGUCGAGCAGUAACGAAAGUUGGAGUUAGUGAUCCGGUGGUAUGUGAGUGGAAAUGCCAUCGCUCAACGGAUAAAAGUUACCCUGGGGAUAACAGGCUGAUCUCCCCCAAGAGUCCACAUCGACGGGGAGGUUUGGCACCUCGAUGUCGGCUCAUCGCAUCCUGGGGCUGUAUUCGGUCCCAAGGGUUUGGCUGUUCGCCAAUUAAAGCGGUACGCGAGCUGGGUUCAGAACGUCGUGAGACAGUUCGGUCCCUAUCUGUCGUGGGCGCAGGAUAUUUGAAGGGAGCUGUCCCUAGUACGAGAGGACCGGGACGGACGUACCUCUGGCGCACCAGUUGUUCCGCCAGGAGCAUAGCUGGGCAACUACGUACGGAUCGGAUAAACGCUGAAAGCAUCUAAGCGUGAAGCCGACCCAAAGAUAAGAUAUCCCACUGAUUCAAUCAGGUAAGAUCCCUUGUAGACUACGAGGUUGAUAGGCACGAUGUGUAAGUGGAGCGAUCCAUUCAGCAAGUGUGUACUAAUAGAUCGAGGGCUUGAC